rnacentral:rRNA from 1 species
GACGAACGCUGGCGGCGUGCUUAACACAUGCAAGUCGAACGGAAGGGCCCUGCUUGCAGGGUACUCGAGUGGCGAACGGGUGAGUAACACGUGGGUGAUCUGCCCUGCACUUCGGGAUAAGCCUGGGAAACUGGGUCUAAUACCGGAUAGGAGCCAUUUUUAGUGUGAUGGUUGGAAAGUUUUUUCGGUGUAGGAUGAGCUCGCGGCCUAUCAGCUUGUUGGUGGGGUAAUGGCCUACCAAGGCGGCGACGGGUAGCCGGCCUGAGAGGGUGGACGGCCACAUUGGGACUGAGAUACGGCCCAGACUCCUACGGGAGGCAGCAGUGGGGAAUAUUGCACAAUGGGCGCAAGCCUGAUGCAGCGACGCCGCGUGGGGGAUGACGGCCUUCGGGUUGUAAACUCCUUUCGCUAGGGACGAAGCUUUUUGUGACGGUACCUAGAGAAGAAGCACCGGCUAACUACGUG